AUUGAACGCUGGCGGCAGGCUUAACACAUGCAAGUCGAGCGGUAGCACACGAGAGCUUGCUCUCUGGGUGACGAGCGGCGGACGGGUGAGUAAUGUCUGGGAAACUGCCUGAUGGAGGGGGAUAACUACUGGAAACGGUAGCUAAUACCGCAUAACGUCGCAAGACCAAAUAGGGGGACCUUCGGGCCUCUUGCCCUCAGCUGUGCCCAGAUGGGAUUAGCUAGUAGGUGGGGUAAUGGCUCACCUAGGCGACGAUCCCUAGCUGGUCUGAGAGGAUGACCAGCCACACUGGAACUGAGACACGGUCCAGACUCCUACGGGAGGCAGCAGUGGGGAAUAUUGCACAAUGGGCGCAAGCCUGAUGCAGCCAUGCCGCGUGUGUGAAGAAGGCCUUCGGGUUGUAAAGCACUUUCAGCGAGGAGGAAGGUGGUGAACUUAAUACGUUCAUCAAUUGACGUUACUCGCAGAAGAAGCACCGGCUAACUCCGUG
rnacentral:rRNA from 1 species